AUACGAAGGGGGCUAGCGUUGUUCGGAAUUACUGGGCGUAAAGCGCACGUAGGCGGAUUGAUAAGUUAGGGGUGAAAUCCCGAGGCUCAACCUCGGAACUGCCUUUAAUACUGUUAGUCUCGAGUCCGGAAGAGGUGAGUGGAAUUCCUAGUGUAGCGGUGGAAUUCGUAGAUAUUAGGAAGAACACCAGUGGCGAAGGCGGCUCACUGGUCCGGUACUGACGCUGAGGUGCGAAAGCGUGGGGAGCAAACAGGAUUAGAAACCCUAGUAGUCC
rnacentral:rRNA from 1 species